rnacentral:rRNA from 1 species
CAAUAGCGUAUAUUUAAGUUGUUGCAGUUAAAAAGCUCGUAGUUGGAUUUCGGAUGGGAUCUGCAGGUCCGUCUUUGAGAUGUGUACUGGUAGGUCCUAUCUUGUUGUCGGGGACCAGCUCCUGGGCUUCACUGUCCGGGACUGGGAGCCGACGAAGUUACUUUGAGUAAAUUAGAGUGUUCAAAGCAAGCCUACGCUCUGAAUAUAUUAGCAUGGAAUAACACGAUAGGACUCUGGCUUAUCUUGUUGGUCUGUGAGACCAGAGUAAUGAUUAAGAGGGACAGUCGGGGACAUUCGUAUUUCAUUGUCAGAGGUGAAAUUCUUGGAUUUAUGAAAGACGAACUUCUGCGAAAGCAUUUGUCAAGGAUGUUUUCAUUAA